rnacentral:rRNA from 1 species
GGAAGGGGUGUAUUUAUUAGAUUAAAAACCAAUGCCCUUCGGGGCUCUCUGGUGACUCAUGAUAACUUCUCGAAUCGCAUGGCCUUGUGCCGGCGAUGGUUCAUUCAAAUUUCUUCCCUAUCAACUUUCGAUGUUUGGGUAUUGGCCAAACAUGGUUGCAACGGGUAACGGAGGGUUAGGGCUCGACCCCGGAGAAGGAGCCUGAGAAACGGCUACUACAUCCAAGGAAGGCAGCAGGCGCGCAAAUUACCCAAUCCCGACUCGGGGAGGUAGUGACAAUAAAUACUGAUACAGGGUUCUUUCGGAUCUUGUAAUUGGAAUGAGUACAAUUUAAAUCCCUUAACGAGGAACAAUUGGAGGGCAAGUCUGGUGCCAGCAGCCGCGGUAAUUCCAGCUCCAAUAGCGUAUAUUAAAGUUGUUGUGGUUAAAAAGCUCGUAGUUGAACCUUGGGCCUGGCUGGCCGGUCCGCCUCACCGCGUGUACUGGUCCGGCCGGGCCUUUCCCUCUGUGGAACCCUAUGCCCUUCACUGGGUGUAGCGGGGAACCAGGACUUUUAC